UACAGGGGGUGCAAACGUUGCUCGGAAUCAUUGGGCGUAAAGCGCACGUAGGCGGUCUGUUAUGUCGGAUGUGAAAGCCCUUGGCUCAACUGAGGAAGUGCAUCCGAAACUGGCAGGCUAGAGUACUAAAGAGGAUCGCGGAAUUCCCGGUGUAGAGGUGAAAUUCGUAGAUAUCGGGAGGAACACCGGUGGCGAAGGCGGCGAUCUGGGUAGAUACUGACGCUGAGGUGCGAAGGCCAGGGGAGCAAACGGG
rnacentral:rRNA from 1 species